AGUGGCAUGUUCAUGCUGUCAACAGUCAAACACCCUUAAAUUCCCAAACACAAACAGAGUCAAUAAGUAACUUUGAUUUCUUUAUUACUUUAAACAAAAUGCAGUUACAAUCAGUUCAUUUCGUCACUCAACAAAUCGAGGAGUACAUUUGCAACUACCAUUCUAUACUUUAAAAAGGACCAGCAUACAGAAGAGCCUAGCCACUAAGAAAAGUAUUUGCAAAUCGGUAAUGCAAACUGAUUGGUUUAUGGACAUGCAGUUUAAAAUCAACCGAUGCAGUGCAAUCAAUGUGAUCAUAUCUGUAACAACAUCCCUGUUAAACCUACUUGCUCUAGUCUUUAAAAAGUCCUCCUGGCUACACACUCAUGCAAGAACAAACAAAAAAGUUGUUAAAGGGGGACAACAUUCUACAAUAUGUUACGUCAGUUAUUAGGUGUACAUUUUCAGUUGAAGACCUCUUGGUCUUGUGGUAAUGUUCUGUAGCAAGAGUUUUGUUAACAAUGUCUACAGUGGCUGGUCCACUCCAGAGCCAGUCAGUGGCAACAACCAGGUCCUUCCAUGGUGAAAACACUUCUGGUACCUAGUGACACAGGAAAUUCGUGAAACGGAGAAAUAGCUCGCUACCUAAUUAGUAUAAUCACUGAACUCAAUUUAGAUGGUACCUGAAUAUGUAAGCUGUCAAGGUUAUACAACACAUCUACUAUUUAAAAGUAUAUCCAACAACUGGUCUGCUUGAACGCUAACUUUCGGUUUCUCUGGUAGCUAACAGGACUCAAUUUUUCUUGCCAACAAGAAGCACAAGCCUCAACACCGCCAUGUUGAGACGAGGUUUCAACGUUGAAUGUACAACGCUAAGUUAGUUGGUAGUAGCUAGUAAUUAAGACGGGAAACAAAAUGGUCCCAAAAAAACAUUAAUUAACAUUCAAGUAUCCAACGAAAUAAAUGUAUAGCAACGAUAUUGAAAAAAAAAAACGACCAGCGAAUGUCAUGAGCUGCUAGCUAACUGCUUAGUCCGAGCGCCAGACAGACAACUAGCCAUGUCCAGCAGUGUUUUGACCAUGUUGUAUAGAUUAAAAAGUUACAUGCCAACUCAGCUAACUCGCAAGAUUACGCAACAUGUGUACAAAUAACUUAAGCAGUCCGGUAGCCAACUAUCGUAACUAUCAAAACUAACAAACUCCAUGCCAUCCCUCUUUCUAUGAAUUUAUAGACUUAGCUAACGUAUUUAUACAACUGACCAACAGGGUAGCUAGUGACUGAGGUUGGCUAGUUAACUAGCGUUACCUGGUCGCUCUGGGUGCCAUUUUGCUUGCAACUAGUUAGGUAUAUUAGCCUGAUGUUUUCCUUUUAAAAAUGAAACACUAGUUAGCUAGCCAAUGCGCCUCUAUUGUACUCGGUGACAUUUAAACAAAAAUCAGCGCUAAAAUAAUAUCAAAUAUUUAUUGCUCAUUUUCCAUCGUUAGUUAGACAGCCUAUUCAAUGGCGGGUUUUUACAGUGCCCACAAAGGGGUAACGACGUUAGAUGGCUGGCUAGCAACUAACAUUAGCUACAUCGUGCUAACUACUUAGCCAGGGGUAGGCAACCCUGGUACUGGAGUGCCGACCUUGGAAAUCAAGAGUGUUGAAUUUGGGCAAUCGCCGAAAUUACCAAUUAGUUGUUGGUCAGGUGUGGUGCCUAAUUGGAACAAACUCUUGUUUUCUGCGGCACUCCAGGAACAGGGCUAUUGACCCCUGAUUUAGGCUAACGUGUAGGUAACUGUGUUAUAUAUACACUUUUUUUUUAAAGCUGAACAUUUGAACACUAACCAAACAUUCUAGUACAACUAUGUGGAAAUCUGAUUUUACAUAGACUUUGGCUUGCUAACUGGCAAGACACUUACCGCCAAAGCCAAGCUGUCACUUCGUUUUAGACGUGGCCUUCCAAUCUCGUCCCUAUUUCAGAAUAUAAAUGAAAUGUCCAUAACAUUAACAAAUUUUGCUCUAAAAACGAGUAUUUCAAGCUUUCCCGUUUUAAUUAUGGUAAAGUCUUUCACCGUUAUUAUAUUAAACACCGCAGGCUUUUGUCGGAUUUUCCCAGUUGACUUACUUAAAAUAACACUGAUCACGCCGGCAUGGUUUCCACUUGAGACCGAGGAUUCUCGCGUAGUCCCGUAAAAAAAAUUGUUUUGUUGUAAAGUAACAGUAACUUCGACAUCUUCUUAAAAAAGUAAGAAAAAUAACUAGUUUUAACUGAUUUAAAAAUAAUAAUACUAAGCGAAAAAAACACUUUAAAUAUGACUUUGAUUUCCGAAAGGUCGAGGUAGGCCUCGCGAACGAGCUUCUUUUCCAAGAGUUGUUGCCGAUCCAGAGCGAGACGAACGAGACAACGCGGAUUUUUUUAAUUUUGCUUAGAGAGGAAAAAAUAAGAAUCGGUGAAGUUCGGCAAAAAUCGGAAGUAAGGCGGGUUUUUCCAACGCCAUCGUAUAUCUAUAGCCAUUGGUUAAUCUCUGUGUAUUAAUGUAUAUUAAUG
rnacentral:lncRNA from 1 species